rnacentral:rRNA from 1 species
CCGCGGUAAUACGGAGGGUGCGAGCGUUGUUCGGAAUUAUUGGGCGUAAAGCGCGUGUAGGCGGUUUGGUAAGUCUGAUGUGAAAGCCCCGGGCUCAACCUGGGAAGUGCAUUGGAAACUGUCAGACUUGAAUACGGGAGAGGGUAGUGGAAUUCCUAGUGUAGGAGUGAAAUGCUUAGAUAUUACACAGAACACCGAUUGCGAAGGCAGCUUGCUGGGCCAUUACUGACGCUGAUGCACGAAAGCGUGGGGAUCGAACAGGAUUAGAUACCCUGGUAGUCCACGCCGUAAACGAUGAUCACUCGCUGUUGGCGAUACACAGUCAGCGGCUAAGCAAAAGCAUUAAGUGAUCCACCUGGGGAGUACGGCCGCAAGGCUGAAACUCAAAGGAAUUGACGGGGGCCCGCACAAGCGGAGGAACAUGUGGUUUAAUUCGAUGAUACGCGAGGAACCUUACCUGGGCUUAAAUGUAGAGUGCAUUGGUGAGAAAUCAUCGUUUUCUUCGGAACUCUCUGCAAGGUGCUGCAUGGUUGUCGUCAGCUCGUGCCGUGAGGUGUCGGGUUAAGUCCCAUAACGAGCGCAACCCUUAUCGUUAGUUGCCAGCGGGUAAUGCCGGGGACUCUAGCGAAACUGCCGGUGUAAACCGAGAGGAAGGUGGGGAUGACGUCAAAUCAGCACGGCCCUUAUGUCCAGGGCUACACGCGUGUUACAAUGGCCGGUACAGAGGGCAGCUACCUGGAGACAGGAUGCGAAUCUCGAAAGCCGGUCUCAGUUCGGAUCGGAGUCUGCAACUCGACUCCGUGAAGCUGGAUUCGCUAGUAACCGCGCAUCAGCCAUGGCGCGGUGAAUACGUUCCCGGGCCUUGCACACACCGCCCGU